GAGAGAGAGAGAGGAGAGAACGCCAUAGCCUUGCCGCCACCUUUUCCAUCGCUGGUGCCUAUUCCGGCCACAAUUCUUACACCAUUCUCUUCCUCUCUUCAUGGGCUUUCUUUUGAUAUAUGUUUCAAGACCUAUCAUCAAGUGUGCGCAACGAAUCGAAGGAGAGAAGAUUGAGUGAUUUUUCGGCUAUUUUCCGAAUUCCGGCCAAACCGUUGAAACCGUUGAGAAUUUAGAGAAAUCCCAAGGUAAUCCGGUUGAGCAAGCUUCCGAGGACAUUCCCGAGAUGGGACUCACCUAGUCACCCUUCAUUGUUUUUGGAUAGUCCAUUUUUAGGGGAGGUUAUGUCAAAUUUUUGAUAGAAUCUCUCUUUAAUUUGGUCUACACAUGUCCGCUUCUGAUUCCAAGGUGGAAUCCCGGGCGCGGUCCAGUCAUCAAUGGUGCCGUCCAAACCGGUGCCUCGAGUGGUUUCCCUGGAUACUAAGAAGGCUGAAAAGAAACCAUUUCCGAGUGUGGAGAUUUUGGACACAGUGUUGUUAGGUUCGAAACGUAAAGCAGCCUUCGAGCUUACCAAGAUUGGGAAACGGUACCUAGCUCUUCCCACUCCCGAGUUUCAGGUGGAAGAGAAUAUCACUCUGAUGUUACAGCACAAGGAUGGUAAGAUUAUUGUGUCUCCCAAGAAGAAAAAGCUUGGAUGUCCUCGAGGAAGCAAAAAUAAACCCAAAGCGGCUCGGGUUCUUGAAUUGGAAGGGUAAGUUAAAAGGCCUAGGAAAUGGAAGAGUAUGGGGGAGAGGCCGAUGCAGAUGGUGUGGGUGCGGCUGGAGCUGUGCUGCUACAUCCUGAGGUGGGGGGUGAGUUGAAGAAAGUGGCAUGGAAGGGGAGUCUCCUCUCCCAAUGUCUGCUGCUAUUUAAUUUUGUUUUAGGUUGCAAAGAUCAAGUCCUCUGAGGAUCCAUUUUACUUCUCUUGCUUCGGAGGUCUAUGAUCUUUGUUUGGAAUAAUUGGGCGUAUUUGCUUUAAAAGGUUGGUGUACUAGGGGUUUUCCUGGGUCUUAUUCUAGUUUGGAAUAGGUUUUUAGGGUUCCCUAAGGAACAAUUCUUUCUGUCGACCCCAUAGGAGUGUUUCGUUUUUGUACUGCUUGCUGAAUAUUAUAUAAUGGGCUGACCUCUUUUCGUCAAAAAAAAAUUGUAGUAAGAUAUAUAGUUGAACAAUUUAAUCA